rnacentral:tRNA from 1 species
GGUUGUGGCUCAGUGGUAGAUCACUUGCUUAGCAUGUGUGAGGCACUGGGUUCAAUCCCUGGCACCA